AGUGUUUUCCUUUAUAAGAGUUGCCUUGGUCAUGGUGUCCCUUCACAGCAAUGAAACCCUAACUGAGACAGGUAGGAAGCAAUUGAGGAAGGCAUCUGAUGUCCAUCUGUGGUCCACCUGUAUGUCUGCACACAUGUGCAAAGACACAUAGUAGUUAUCCAGGUGUGGUGCUGCACACCUGGGAAUCCCAGCACGUGGGAGUUAGGCAAGAGGAUUUGCAGUUCAAGACUACCCCUAGCUGUGUAGAGAGAUCGAGGUUAGCCUGGACUUUUGAGCUUCUGUCUCAAAAAACGAAUGAACAAAUGAACAAACAAACAAAACAAAACAAGAAAACCUCAAAAGCAUCACCAAUCCCACCCCCAAUAACAGAAUGUGCUGACAUCUUUAUUUUAAAUCUUUUGUAGGAGAAGCUCACUUAUGCUUGAUGUAUCUCCAACAGCUUUAAAGUGUUUGCAUCAUGAAAGAACAAGUACACCUAGCUCAGGCUUUCCCACUGGCAGGGAGAAAACAGAAAAGGCAACAUGUUGAAGCUUUCUAGCUGUGUCCUGGAAAUCUUAAAAAGGAAGCCAAUUUCAAAAGGCACAAGAAGGAUUUAUGAUUUCAGGAACGUCUCAUGUGAGAUGGUGCUGUCCACAUUCAGAGCAGAUCUUCUUUAGUCAAUCAUCUGUAGACGAUCCUCAGACAAGCCUAGAAGUGUGUUCUGCAAGGCAUGUCAGCACUCCUCAAUCCAAGUUGGUGACUUUAUGAUACAACCACCUCCCAGGAGAUCCUGUCACUCAAAGUUCCCACCACCUCAGCACUAACUCAUUGGAGAACAAGACUUUUGUCUAGGAAGCCUUGGAGUACAAACGCAUUUUAACCAGAGCCCAGAACAAAUGGACUGAGCAAACGAGCCACCUCUCAAGAUGGAGUUGAAUUAAAUAGAGUAUAACUUACAGGCAAAUGAUAGAGAACGAAAAAUAUUAUCAUUAAGAAAAA